CCUACGGGAGGCAGCAGUGAGGAAUAUUGGUCAAUGGGCGCGAGCCUGAACCAGCCAAGUCGCGUGAGGGAUGACGGUCCUACGGAUUGUAAACCUCUUUUGCCGGGGAGCAAGCGUGCGUUCGUGAACGCGCGUCGAGAGUACCCGGAGAACAAGCAUCGGCUAACACCGUGCCAGCAGCCGCGGUAAUACGGGGGACGCGAGGGGUAUCCGGCUUUAUUGGGUUUAAAGGUGUCGUAGGCGGGAUGCCAAGUCAGCGGUAAAAAUGCGGUGCUCAACGCCGUAGAGCCGUUGAAACUGGCGUGCUGGAGUGGGCGAGAGGUAUGCGGAAUGCGUGGUGUAGCGGUGAAAUGCAUAGAUAUCACGCAGAACUCCAGUUGCGAAGGCAGCAUACCGGCGCCCUACUGACGCUGAGGCACGAAAGCGUGGGUAUCGAACAGGAUUAGAUACCCUUGUAGUC
rnacentral:rRNA from 1 species